rnacentral:rRNA from 1 species
CCUACGGGAGGCAGCAGUGGGGAAUAUUGCACAAUGGGGGGAACCCUGAUGCAGCGACGCCGCGUGAGUGAAGAAGUAUUUCGGUAUGUAAAGCUCUAUCAGCAGGGAAGAAAAUGACGGUACCUGACUAAGAAGCUCUGGCUAACUACGUGACAGCAGCCGCGGGAAUACGGAGGGGGCAAGCGUUCUACGGAUUUACUGGGUGUAAAGGGAGCGUAGACGGUUAUGCAAGUCUGAAGUGAAAGCCUAAGGCUCAACCAUGGGACUGCUUUGGAAACUGUAAAACUGGAGUGCAGGAGAGGUAAGCGGAAUUCCUGGUGUAGCGGUGAAAUGCGUAGAUAUUAGGAGGAACACCAGUGGCGAAGGCGGCUAACUGGACUGUAACUGACGUUGAGGCUCGAAGGCGUGGGGAGCAAACAGGAUUAGAUACCCUUGUAGUC